UUCUCUCUCUAAAAUUUCUAGAAGAGUUCUAGAAUUCUUGAUUAUUAAUUAAAUCAGCAGAUUUAAUUAAAUUUGAGAAAUUUAUUCGCUUUACUAGAGGGUGUUACCUCCUAAGCCAUUUAUUUAAGUACUAAAAAUUAGGCUCGAGGUCUAUUCAUCGUUAGCGUAUCAUAAUUUCUUAAAAUUAAUCAUUUGAGCACUCAAGCUAAAAUCCGGAAAAUUUAGACUUAUCCUCGUGGAAUUAAUUAGCGGACUAUUAAUUUAUUAAAUCCAUAACAUAGAAAGGCCCAUGAUUUAAUUAGGUUCCUUCUUUAAUUUAACUAGUGGCCCAAAUUAAUUACUUACAUAACUAGCCCAUCUCAUUAAAUAAAAGAGGCCCAGAACAAGAAAAUAAAGAGAGGCCCAAACCUUCUCCAAACCCAUCGGCCUCCCUCUUAUUCCACAAACAACACAACAAAUUCCCUUCCCCUUUUUUUUUCUAACCCUAGCCGAAGAAGGGGACGGCGGCGCCUCCUCGUCUACCGCCGCUAGUUGCUCCGGUCGGCGGCGCAAGGGAGGCUUCUCCCUCGCAACCCUCGGUCUCAUUCUCUUCUUAGAACAAAAAUCCCCAAAUCACACCCACACACAAACCCUAAAUCGGAAGUGAAACGCGGCGGCUCGUGCCGGCAAGCUCCGCCAUCGCAGCACGGCUGGCAGGCGCUCUCGGUCCCCUUCGCAGGCCAACGCCGCCGCCGCCUCGCAGCGCAGCCCAUUGUCGUUUCUUCCUUCGCCAGCGAAAUCGCCGAGAGGGGAAAGGCGUCGCCUUUCCCUCUUCCUCCGGCGCCCUCUGGUGAUUGACGCCCAUCGUCGACGUUCGCAGCUCGCCGCUGCCUCUCCCUUCGCGAGGCGGUCACACCGACGCCGGCGACCCGCGUCGGCUGCCUUCGUCGUUGCUCGACCAUCGCCGGACCGUUUCUUUCUAAAGCUAAGUUCUUUCUCUUUUAUUUCUCUUGUUUAAGCAUUUUGAGAGUCAUCUAGGAAGUGUUUAAACUUAGUGUGGCUAUAGAACUAUGCUCUUGUUGUUUAUAUGUCUUGGUGCUUAGGAUUCUUUCAUCCUUAAAAUUGGAUACUAAGAUAGAUUAGCUGCAUUGGGUCUGGAGUAGAGCUACUGCAAGUAUUCUAUGUCUUUCUACUUAUUCUACAUGAUGAUAUGAGAUGUUAUUUGGGAGAAAGGUGGAGGUGGAAUACCUCUUGCAAAAAGACAGUGGCUUAAACUCUGAUUUCCAAAGUCCUCAAGGCUUGCUCCCUCCUUGAACUCCUAUGGAAAGAGCUGAGAUUUGCAGUUCUUCUUGUUGGACUUUAAACAGAACUUCUUCCCACUCACUAGCUCUCUCUCGAUAAUGUGAGAGAAACUGAUAUGUGUUGGAGUUGUGAAACCGAUUGGGAGGUAUAUGUGUAUAUGUAUUGGAGUUUGUUGGUAUUUUGGCAGAGAUCAAAUCCGAAACUCUUUAGCUCUUUGCUAGCUAUUUUUGGUGGUUUAUGGGGUAUGUACUUGUGCGAAAAUAAAUGGGAUUGCCGUGCCUCUUGUUGUUAUUCUGCAGCAAAUCCCCCUUUGCUCUUGUACUCUCUCACUUUCAAUUAUGAAAUUUUGGUGUUAUGCUUAAGAGAAGUACUUCUUGAUUUAGUAAUUGUUUUGAUGGUGGCAGGUGGUACUUGGAGGAAGUGCAGUUUGACUGCACAAGGGAAGAGUAUAGGCUCGUUUUUUUUUUUUGUUCGUUUAGGCGAGUCCUUAGUCUCUUGUUGAAAAGAGGUGAAAGAAAAGGCUUGGCUGCCUUGCUGCUGCUUCGAGACGCGGGCCAGCUGCCCUGGGCUCGAUGGGCUGACCGGACAUGGGCCGUGGUUUCUCGAAGGUUGGGCUGGUGGAGCGAGGCCCAGUAGCAUUCCUUCGUAAUAAUAUAGUAUCCCGUAUUUUCUUCAACAAUUUCAUACAUGUGCUGAUCAUAUAGGUUAAUGUCCUAUGUUUUCGAACACCUUUAGUCCGGGUCCUGGGAUAUACAUCUUCAUAUCCUUGUACACUUUCAUUUAUUUCUAUUAUAUAUACAUUGUUUUGUUUUCUUUGUUCA